GCCCCUCACCCUCCCGGGUGUUGAGACAGCCCGCCGGCGNCNCNGUUAACUCUUGUUUUUACACUGANACUCUGAGCACAAAACAUAAAUGAAUCAAAACUUUCAACAACGGAUCUCUUGGUUCUGGCAUCGAUGAAGAACGCAGCGAAAUGCGAUAAGUAAUGUAAAUUGCAAAAUUCAGUGAAUCAUCGAAUCUUUGAACGCACAUUGCGCCCUCUGNNAUUCCGGAGGGNAUGCCUGUUCGAGCGUCAUUUCAACCCUCAAGCCUGGUUUGGUGAUGGGGCACUGCCUGUAAGAGGGCAGGCCCAGAAAUCCAGUGGCGAGCUCGCCAGGACCCCGAGCGCAGUAGUUAAACCCUCGCUCUGGAAGGCCCUGGCNNUGCCCUGCCGUUAAACCCCCAACUUUUGAAAAUUUGACCUCGGAUCAGGUAGGAAUACCCGCUGAACUUAAGCAUAUCAAUA
rnacentral:rRNA from 1 species